rnacentral:tRNA from 1 species
GGGGUGUGGCUCAGUGGCAGAGUGCCAGCCUCACAUGCCGAAGGCCCUGGGUUCAGUCCCUGGCACCACCG